rnacentral:rRNA from 1 species
UAAAUAAGCGGAGGAAAAGAAACCAACAGGGAUUGCCCCAGUAACGGCGAGUGAAGCGCAACAGCUCAAAUUUGNAAUCUGGCCCCUCUCGGGGUCCGAGUUGUAAUUUGUAGAGGAUGNUUUUGGCGAGGCGCCGCCCGAGUUCCCUGGAACGGGACGCCACAGAGGGUGAGAGCCCCGUCUGGCUGGCCGCCGAGCCUCUGUAAAGCUCCUUCGACGAGUCGAGUAGUUUGGGAAUGCUGCUCAAAAUGGGAGGUAUAUGUCUUCUAAAGCUAAAUACUGGCCAGAGACCGAUAGCGCACAAGUAGAGUGAUCGAAAGAUGAAAAGCACCUUGAAAAGAGGGUUAAAUAGUACGUGAAAUUGUUGAAAGGGAAGCGCUUGUGACCAGACUUGGGCUCNUCGGAUCAUCCGGGGUUCUCCCCGGUGCACUUCGCCUCGCCCAGGCCAGCAUCAGUUCGUNGCGGGGGAUAAAGGCNUCGGGAACGUGGCUCCUCCGGGAGUGUUAUAGCCCGUUGCGCAAUACCCUGCGGUGGACUGAGGACCGCGCAUCUNGCAAGGAUGCUGGCGUAAUGGUCACCAGCGACCCGUCUUGAAACACGGACCAAGGAGUCGUCUUCGUAUGCGAGUGUUCGGGUGUCAAACCCCUACGCGUAAUGAAAGUGAACGCAGGUGAGAGCUUCGGCGCAUCAUCGACCGAUCCUGAUGUUCUCGGAUGGAUUUGAGUAAGAGCAUACGGGNCCGGACCCGAAAGAAGGUGAACUAUGCNUGUAUAGGGUGAAGCCAGAGGAAACUCUGGUGGAGGCUCGCAGCGGUUCUGACGUGCAAAUCGAUCGUCAAAUAUGGGCAUGGGGGCGAAAGACUAAUCGAACCUUCUAGUAG